GGUGGCCAUCAAACGGGUGCCACGGAACCGUGUCCGGCACUGGGGCGAGCUGGAACACCGUCAUACAGCCCCCCGGAAUGGACCGACUUCGGGUGGUACCAUAGCGAGGCAGCAACCGUCUGGACCCUGGGCAUCCUGCUGCAUGAGAUGGUCUGCGGGGAGCACCCUUUCAGGAGGGGCAGGAACAUCAGCUGGGCCCAGCUCCCACUGCUACAAUGGCUCUCCCAAGACUGCCGAAUUCUGAUCAGGUGGUAUUUAUCCCUCUCCACUUAUUAUCCCCAAGCACUCCUUGGACAGGCCCUCAUUAGAAGACCUGUUCUGUGAUCCCUGGAUGCAGGAUAUUCAUCUGCCCUAGAAGAAGGGGAGAGCCACAGGCACAGUGAUGCAGGGACCUGGGGUCAUCAAAUGGGAACACACCGCCCUUGUGCUGGAUCUGAGCUGCUCUGCCCAGCACUGCUGGCUGCCAUCUGAGCUGGUUUUGCUAGUCUUGGUUCACUGACAGCCGGGCCCUGAGCAGAUCCCUGACAGCCUGGUGUCACCCCAGGGAAGAAGGAGCCCCUGGAGAAGCUGUACCAGGUGGGACUGCUGCUGCUGCUGCUGG